GAGCAAUGAUGAAGAGGUUUUCAUACUGACUUUUACAACUAUGAAAGUUUCUACACUUGAUCUGAGCUCA
ensembl:snoRNA